AGCAGUGUGGUGUAGUGCGCACACGGGGUCUCCCUAAGGAUGACUCGAAAUCGGAUGUCCCCCCGAGGUCCUUGUUCGAGUCAAGGUGCUGCUG